UAUUUAAGUAGUUUAAAUUUAAAACUUUAUAUUGAAGAUAUGAGGAUAAAAUAAUUUUCUUAAGU
rnacentral:tRNA from 1 species